CCCUUAGAUGUCCUGGGCCGCACGCGCGCUACACUGAUGCAUUCAACGAGUUUUACCUUGGCCGAGAGGCCUGGGCAAUCUUUUAAACCUGCAUCGUGAUAGGGAUAGAUUAUUGCAAUUAUUAAUCUUGAACGAGGAAUUCCUAGUAAACGCAAAUCAUCAAUUUGCAUUGAUUACGUCCCUGCCCUUUGUACACACCACCCGUCGCACCUACCGAUUGAAUGGUCCGGUGAAGCCUCAGGAUUGUGGCCAGUUCACUUUAUUGGGAGUUGGCUGUGAGAACUUGUCUAAACCUUAUCAUUUAGAGGAAGGUGAAGUCGUAACA
rnacentral:rRNA from 1 species